AGUUGUCCGUGGCAUCUGCAAUUUGUGAGAAAUCAUACAAGGCGAACUCAGAACCGGUAUCUUCCAUCUUCCAAAGCCUCAGGAUUUCAUCUAUGUUCUUGGGCUGCUCUGUGGAGUUUAUUUUCCCUGAAUGUACAUCUCUCCAUCAGUUUUACAGGAAACUGGAUUAACUGGACACAGAAAAGCAAACGCGUACUGAGGAUCAGGAGGGAGUACACUGUACCAAUGAUCAAUAGUGCAUGGCCCUUGUGUUGCCCUGAAUAUUGUAAGAGAGAUGAUUCAUAUGUCAAAAGAAAGUAUAGGCUUACUAAGUGGAAUAUUAUCUGUUGGCCAAAAGAUCAAGGGGGACUUGGAAUUGAAGUUCUUGAUAUUAAAAAUAGGUGCCUUCUAAGUAAAUGGUUGUUUAAGCUUAUGAAUGAA